GAUGAACGCUGGCGGCGUGCUUAACACAUGCAAGUCGAGCGGUGAAAGCGGAGCUUGCUCUGCUGGAUCAGUGGCGAACGGGUGAGUAACACGUGAGCAAUCUGCCCUUGACUCUGGGAUAAGCGUUGGAAACGACGUCUAAUACCGGAUACGAGCUGCGAAGGCAUCUUCAGCAGCUGGAAAGAACUUCGGUCAAGGGAUGAGCUCGCGGCCUAUCAGCUAGUUGGUGAGGUAAUGGCUCACCAAGGCGUCGACGGGUAGCCGGCCUGAGAGGGUGACCGGCCACACUGGGACUGAGAAGCGGCCCAGACUCCUACGGGAGGCAGCGGGGGGGAAUAUUGCACAAUGGGCGCAAGCCUGAUGCAGCAACGCCGCGUGAGGGACGACGGCCUUCGGGUUGUAAACCUCUUUUAGCAGGGAAGAAGCGAAAGUGACGGUACCUGCAGAAAAAGCACCGGCUAACUACGUGCCAGCAGCCGCCGUAACAC
rnacentral:rRNA from 1 species